UACGUAGGGGGCAAGCGUUGUCCGGAAUCAUUGGGCGUAAAGAGCGUGUAGGCGGCCAGAAAAGUCCGCUGUGAAAACUCGAGGCUCAACUUCGAGCUGUCGGUGGAAACUUUCUGGCUAGAGUCCGGAAGAGGAGAAUGGAAUUCCUGGUGUAGCGGUGAAAUGCGCAGAUAUCGGGAGGAACACCGGUGGCGAAGGCGGUUCUCUGGGCCUGUACUGACGCUGAGGAGCGAAAGCGUGGGGAGCGAACAGG
rnacentral:rRNA from 1 species